GAUGAACGCUGGCGGCGUGCCUAAUACAUGCAAGUCGAACCAAUCUUCUUCGGAAGAUGAGUGGCGAACGGGUGAGUAAUACAUAGGUAACCUGCCCCUGUGCGGGGGAUAACAGGAGGAAACUCCUGCUAAUACCGCAUAGCCAUGAGCACCGCAUGGAGCUCAUGCCAAAUAUCCUUUAUGGGAUAGCGCAGGGAUGGACCUAUGGCGCAUUAGCUGGUUGGCGGGGCAACGGCCCACCAAGGCAACGAUGCGUAGCCGGGCUGAGAGGGCGGACGGCCACAUUGGGACUGAGACACGGCCCAGACUCCUACGGGAGGCAGCAGUAGGGAAUUUUCGGCAAUGGGGGAAACCCUGACCGAGCAACGCCGCGUGAGUGAAGAAGGCCUUCGGGUCGUAAAGCUCUGUUGUAAAGGAAGAACGGCGCAUACAGGAAAUGGUAUGCGAGUGACGGUACUUUACCAGAAAGCCACGGCUAACUACGUGCCAGCCGCCGCGGUAACAC
rnacentral:rRNA from 1 species